GAUUUGUAGCUCGGCUAAGAAGAUGGUUAUGUUAUUAUAUGCUUCGAUUUAACCGAAGAGGCAUUUAAUGCCUUAUUGGUGUGUUUGGAAGGGUAUAUUAUACUGGAGUGUUAUAGAGGAUUUAUAUUAUUCUGGGUGUGUUUGGGGUGGAUAUUUUGGUGUGUUUGGGCGGAAUCCGCGUAUCUAUCAGAGUCCGAGUCUUGUUAAUAGGGGUAAAUAAGUGAAAAAGAUAAAUCGAAUAUAUUUAAUUGAUCAAGCUAUUGAAAUGAAACGAGAAAUUGAAUUGAGAAUUGAAAAUUUAGAUAUGAGAUUGAAAACAUGAACCAAAGGUUCAUGGAAUGAUUGGAGUUCGAAUUGAUGAUAUAUGAUGCCACUUGAUGAAUUGAAAUGUGAUUUGAGAUAUAUGAAUCGUAUGUAUAUAGUGAAAGCUAUCAGGGAUAGUAAGUUGAUAUGAUAUAAAUGAAAUUGACUGUUAUUGAAAUGGAUUAAAAUGGAAAAUGAUUGAUAAGUGCAUAGUUGAAUAUAGUUUAUUGAUAUUGAAUUGUGAAUAAAUUAAGGAAAGCUAUAUCGAUUAGUAAGUGAAAGAAUGGAAUAAAUAAUAAUGAAUUUAUUUAAGAAUUGAACAAUUACGUUAUUGUGUUUAUUAUAUGAUUUGUAUAGAAUUUAUAUGGUAAGUAGUUGAAAUUUAUCUAUGAAAUAAAUAAUUGAAUAAUUUGUAAUUGUUAUUAUGAUCUUAAGUAUUUGUUAUAUUAUUAAAUGUUCGGAUUAUAGAAAUACCACUGAGUAUACCUAUACUCAGCGUACGGCUUGUUUCCGUGCGUAGGUUAAGUAAAGAUAGAACAUUGAAUCAGCAUCCUAGGCCAAUCCCGAAUUCAAUAAGGUAAGGUGUGUUAAUUAUUAGUAAUGGCAUGUACCUAGGGUGUCUUAUGUGUGUGUCAUUUUGAAAUUGUAAAUGUAAGGAUGAAAUAAAUAGAUUUAGUUUUAGUUAUGAUAUAUAAUAGAAUUUGGUUAAUUUGGUAUGAAAUUGAUUUAUUUGAUGAUAUUUGAUAUUUGAUAUUUGAAUAGAAUUAAAUAUUGGAUAAUAUGUAAAUGUUUAAAUUUGGCAAAUAAUGAGUGUAUCUGGUUGUGUUGGUAUUUAUGUGUAUAUUAAUUGUAAAUGUCCAAUAGGUUCGAUAAUGCUCUGUAACCCUGUUCUGGGGACGGUUGGGGUUAGGGGGUGUUACAACUAAGCGAUAAGUUACAAGAAUGAAUGAGCUUGGUAAGUCUAAGGAUCAUAGACCACCAGAACAAUAAGAGAAUUCGCCAAAGGUAAUAAUGAGUAAUGCCAAGGAUGCAUCUCAACCCAAUUAGGAUGAUAAAAAGAAGAUACUCCUUAGAUAAGGAGGUAUACAUAAUGUACGACAAAACGAAUUCGCUAGGAAAGUUAUGAAUCCCAUAUGGUUAAAGCUAGUCAUAAUUUGUAAGUCGAAAAAGAGCCAGCCAACAGGCUGGGUAGGCUAAUAAAGACUCUCGUAAGAGGAAAUGACUGCUCAAUGAUGAAUGACCAGUAAAGUUCUUUAGAGACUAAUGGAAAGUGGAGGUCCGUCGGGAUCAUGGAAAAUAAUAGAGAUCUUAUUAAUCUACCAAAGGAAAGAACUGCAUGUCUAGUAAAACCUCUUUAAGGAAUGGGUUGAGUACUUUAGUGCAGUGUGAUGGGCAUUAGUAGUCCAAGAUAGUGAGGAUAUCAUAUUCUGGUAAAGACCCCAAUUAUGAAAAUUACUUGGUAGUCGCCAAGUGACGCAAAUAAAAAAUAAUGAACAUAAAAAUCAAGGAGAUGGAAUAGUGAGAGAAGGAAGGGAUGAGACUAAGAGUGAACAUGGUAAAAAAUCGAACUAGGAUUUAAGUAUUUGCUUAGUAAAAUUCUAAUACUAUACACAUUUAAAACUUACUCUAUAUGCCUUUCCUCCAUAAACAGUAUUCAAACACUAGGGCCUCGUUGGGCGGGAUGUUACAGUAUUUGCUUUUUUCUUUAGGGAAUGUGGUGACAUUAGUGGUGGUUACAGUGGGCCGAGUCCCCCAUCUUCAAUAGCUUCCCAUGCUACUUCGUUGACAGACAUAAUGAAAGCCCUCAUACGAGCCUUCUAAUAAGCAUAGUUUGUUGAACCAAGUAGCAACAAAGGUCAAGCAAUCAAACUACCUUCCUUCAUGGAUUCCAUGGUCGUAAAUCGAACAAAGGAUCACCUUUACAUAUCUAUUGAACUUGUUCUAACACCAAUUGUAAAAAAAAAAUUAGUUUGUCGAUAUGAUAAACCAACUUGCUUAAUAUUCGUUGUAAUGUCAGUUAGAACAAAAACAAGUAACGUAAAAAAUAAGAGUAUAAAAAAAUCGACGCGACCAAUCUUUGUUAACACAAUUCAGACACAACAAUCCUACGUUUAUAGAGCCUCGCUCAAUGGAUGAUUUUAUUCAACAAUCGUUCGAAUCACCUAUUGGCUUAAGCUUAAUCUACUAUCACACAAAGAAGUAACUUUAGCCCCAAUACCAAGCCCUAUUGUCACAAAUUACUCACCUAAAUUCCUCACAAUACAAUCAAUAAACUCUCCAAAGAAUACAUAAAAGAAUGUCACAAAAUAACCACAAGAACGCAACAAAGUUAUCAACAAAGGCAUUUCAAAAACUGCUCUCGACAUAAGAAAGAAACAAAGGCUGGUAGUGAGAAAAGAAAGUGAAGAUCUUCUAGCUUUCUGUAUCAUGAUUUACCAAGGGAGAAUGAAAUCUAUCUAUAGGUUAUUACAGCAACAAGAUAAACUCAUUUAAAUCAACAAAUAAAUCCUUGAAAACCUCCAUUGAAUAAAUUUGAUAUUUAUCUCUAAAAAAAUAUCUCUUUAAUCAUAAAGAUAUAAUAAGACUUCCAUUUUAAUCAAACCACCUCAUGGAAGUCAAUUGGGAGUUUUAAUAUCCAAGUCAACCCAUGCUUCUAAUUUUGUCAAAUAUGCCACAUUCAAGUGGACCGAACUCUGCACAAACAAAACCUAUUCAAGGCCUAAGUCGAUAGGCCAAGUAGAGAAGCAAUUUCACUAUAACAGGAUAUGAAAUAAGCAACAAAAUUUUCCAAUAAAUUUGAAUACCCUAAGAGUCUUAAAGACCAACAUGUGCCUUCCAAUUUCUUUUACGUUUGCGUAAUCUUUUUUUACAUCAUAAAACCAUGGUCAGUGAUGGGCGUUGAAACCACCCAAUAUAAAUUCCUACGACAAAUAUAAUAGUAAAUUGAAAUAUAGACCAGUAGGAUCGAAUCCACAGGGACUGAUUAUCUAAUUUCGCCUUAUCUUAUGACCAGAUUCACUAUCGCGGUCACAGUCGUGCCCACGACCUGUGCGUAGUAGUGCUGAAAAAAAUAAAAAUAAAAAUGGGAUGUUUAAAUUAAUUAAGAUAAUAAAAUAAGAAAAUAUGAAAUGUAAUAAAAUAAAAUAAAAAUAGAUUUGAAAAUGUAAAAAUAAAUUUAAGAAAAUAAAAAAAUUGGUAAAUAAAAUAUUUUUAAACUUAGUCUUAGCCUCGGUGUACUCUAAUCUUGAAUCGAUCCUUGAAACAGAUUUUCCCUUCCAAGCGAUAAGCUGGUUAUAGCAAGCGAGGAUCCCUCAAACUGCCAACUCUUCCUCUCGUAGUUGAUCCUGGUAUCGCCUGCAAAUAGACUCAUAUCGAAUUUUCAACCACGUGGCACGUACCAAUAAUUUAAGACUUCAAUAGCCUUGUGAUCUGAAAAGCCCAACUAGAACGGCCUCAACUGUGUAGGUUGUUUAAAUCUGAUCACUAUCUCCCUUGACGGAAUCCAACUAGCUUUUUCCAAUUGAACACGCCAAUUUAUUCGUGGGAUUUUGAAUACAGCACUGCCGACUCAACUUCCCAACUAUACGCUAAAUGAUUCCAACCCAACGCAUACUUUUUGAAUUGAAAUCGAAUCAACUUUAUGGGAUAGUUUGAGGGAUGACUUUGUACUAUCCCAUACCGGAAGAUAGCGAAUACCGAGUUGCAAAGUAUUUAAUGUGGGUUCAUAUCUCAUGAUUACUUUGUCAAAGUUAUAACUAGGCUAAGGUUAAAAAAUGUUUAGUUAAUCAUGGAAAGAAUCAUGCCUGAAAAUAAAUGGUUUAAAUGGAAUUGUGAAAGUAGAAAGGGAAAAGGUCUUGGAAGGCAAUUAAACCAAAAGUUGAAAGUAAAAGAAAAAAAAUGAAACAUCACAAUUGAAUUGCUAAUACGUAGGAGGGGAAAAAAGAGAGAAUUUAUUAAAUGCCAAAGACAAAGUGUUAGAAUUGCCAAAGACAAAGUGUUAGAAUUAAGUGACCCGAAUUCUUAUUUAAAUAAAAUACAGUGGUUAAAUAAAAUAAAAGAAGAAUCUAUAUAGAAUUACACUUUUUUUAUUUUAUUUUAGAAUAAGGUUUUUUAAACCUUAUUAAAUUCUAUCUAUUUGAUAUUGAUUAGAAUAAGGUGUUUCAGUCUUACUAGAAUAUGGCUUUACAAGCCUAUAAAUAGACAUAGUCUAUACCUUUUGUAAAAAAAUUUUGAAUUCGACAUAGUGAAUUUUCUUUUCCUCUGCCCGUGGUUUUUUCCCGAAAGGGUUUCAACGUAAAAUUUGUGUUUUUUAUUUUUAUUUUUAUUUUAUUUUAUUUUCACAAAUUGGUAUCAGAGCUUUUGGGUUGUUCAUCUUAAUCACCGUAAUGGCGUCUUUGAAAUAUGAAAUUUCGCUGUUGGAUCGCAACACCAGAUUUGCGUUGUGGCAGAUUAAGGUGCAAGCAGUUCUUGAGCAGAUGGAUCUGGAGGAUACCCUACUAGGGAUAGAUAAGAUGCCUUCGACAUUAACAGAUGAAAAGAAGAAGCGUAAGGAUCGAAAGGCAUUAACACAAUUACAUCUGCAUUUGUCCAACGAAAUUUUGCAAGAUGUGAUGAAAGAGAAGACUGUCGCUGCAUUAUGGAAGAGGCUAGAACAAAUAUGUAUGUCGAAAACUCUGACAAGCAAGUUGCAUAUGAAGCAGCGUCUUUAUGCUCAUCGUUUGAAAGAAGGUGCGUCUAUACACGAGCACUUAACAGUGUUUAAAGAAAUUCUCUCAAACUUGGAGGCUAUGGAGGUUCAGUAUGAUAAGGAAGAUCUAGGGUUGAUUCUACUUUGUUCGUUGCCCCCGUCUUAUUUAACCUUUAGAGACACGAUUUUAUAUAGCCGAGAGUCUUUCACAGUUGAUAAGGUUUAUGAUUCUUUGACCUCAUAUGAUAAAAUGAAGCACCUUGUGGUUAAACCUGGCUCUUAGGGAGAAGGUCUCAUUAUUCAUGGGAGACAAGAUUGGAAUGCUGAUGAUAAUCGUGUAAGGACACAGGAACGAAAUCCUCGCGGUAAAUCUAAGGGUAGAUCAAAGUCUUCAAACAGAGGCAAAACUUGCAACUUCUGCAAGAAGAAAGGGCACAUUAAAUCUAAGUGCUACAAGCUACAAAAUAAGAUUAAAAGGGAGGCUGCGAAUCAAAAGGAAAAACAACCAGAAAAUUCCGGUGAAGCUGAUGUUGUAGAAGACUACAGCGAUGGUGAACUUCUAGUCGCUUCUGUCAAUGAUUCUAAAGUAAGCGAGGAGUGGAUACUUGAUUCAGGCUGUACCUUCUACAUAAGUCCUAAUCGGGAUUGGUUUACAACUUAUGAAACAGUAUCUGAAGGUGUUGUUUUGAUGGGAAAUAAUACUUCGUGUAAAAUCGCAAGUGUUGGAACAAUUAAAGUUGAGAUGUUUGAUGGAGUUGUCAGAAAACUUAGUGACGUACGACAUGUUCCAGAAUUGAAAAGAAAUUUAAUUUCAUUGAGCACUCUUGGUUCAAAAGGGUACAAAUACACAGCUGAAAGUGGGAUUUUAAAGAUUUACAAAGGUUCCAUUGUUGUGAUGAAAGGGCAGAGAAAGGUUGCCAAGUUAUAUGUUUUGCAGGGUUCUAUUGUUACUGGUGAUGCAGCUGUCGCUUCCUCUUCCUUGUCAGAUGAUGAUAUUACUAAACUUUGGCAUAUGCGCCUAGGGUAUAUGAGUGAGAAUAGCAUGGAAGAAUUGAGCAAAAGAGGACUUCUUGAUGGGCAAGGAAUUCACAAACUGAAUUUUUGUAAGCACUGUGUUUUUGGGAAGCAAAAGAGAGUUUGAUUCACCAGAGGAAUCCACAACACGAAGGGAACGUUGGAGUAUAUUCAUUCUGAUCUGUAGGGGCCAUCCAGAGUGCCUUCGAGAGGUGGAGCUAAUUAUAUGCUAACCUUUAUUGAUAAUUUUUUCAGAAAAGUUUGGGUAUUCUUUCUGAAACAGAAAAGCAAUGUGUUUUUCGCAUUUAAGUCUUGGAAAAUUAUGAUUGAAAAACAGACGGGCAAACAGAUAAAAAACAUCUGCACAGACAAUGGCUUAGAGUUCUGUUCUGAUGAGUUUAAUAGAUUGUGCAAGUCAGAAGGGAUUGUGAGACACUUGAUAGUUCGCCAUACUCAAUAGCAAAAUGGCGUUAUAGAACGAAUAAAUAGAACGAUCAUGGAGAAAGUUCGAUGUAUGUUGUCAAAUGGCAACUUACCAAAGUCGUUUUGGGCAGAAGCAGCCUUUACUGUAUGUUUUUUGAUCAAUCGAUCUCUAUCCGUUGCCAUUGAGAAAAAGACUCCACAAGAGGUAUGGUCUAGUAAUCUUGCUAAUUAUUCUGAUUUAAAGAUUUUUGAAUGUCCUGCGUAUGCUCAUGUUGAUAAUGGAAAAUUGGAACCGAGAUCCAUUAAAUGCGUUUUUCUUGGUUAUAAAGCUGGAGGGUAUAAGUUAUGGUGUCCUGAAAAUAGAAAAGUUGUGAUUAGAAGAGAUGUUGUUUUUGAUGAAACUGCUAUGCUACCUAACUUAUCUCUUAAAGACUCUUCUAAUAAAAGAAAAUCAAAAGCAGGUGGAGCAUCAGAUUAAUACAAAGUCAACUCUUCAAGCCGGUACAAAAAUUUAGAAUAGAGUUGCUUCUUCACCACAAUACUCUAUCGCCAAAAAUAGAACUAAAAGAGAAAUUAAACCUCCAAAAAAGUAUGUCGAGGCCGAUCUAGUUGCUUAUGCUUUAAAUGUGGCUGAAGAUAUAGAUUCGAAUCAAGAGCCAUCUAAUUAUUCUAAGGCGGUUAGCUGUGAAGACUCAGAAAAAUGGACGUUUGCUAUGCAAGAGGAGACAGAAUUACUCCACAAAAACAAAACAUGAGAUCUUGUGAAACUUCCUAAAGGUAAGAAGACUGUUCGUUGUAAAUGGGUGUUUAAAAAGAAAGAAGGGACUUCAAGAGUUGAAGAACCUAGAUAUAAAGCAAGGCUUGUUGCAAAAGGUUACAGUCAAAUUCCAGGAGUGGACUUCACAGAUAUGUUCUCCCUAGUUGUGAAGCAUAGUUUGAUUCAAACUUUGCUUGGUAUUGUGGCCAUGUAUGAUUUGGAGUUUGAGCAGUUAGAUGUAAAAACUGCAUUUUUGUAUAGAGAACUUGAAGAGGAUAUUUACAUGCAACAACCAGAGGGUUUUACAGUCUCAGAAAAAGAGGACUAUGUUUGCUUGCUGAAAAAGUCCUUUUACUGUUUGAAACAGUCACCAAGGCAGUGGUACAAGAGGUUUGAUUCCUUUAUGACUUCUCAUGAUUUCAAAAGAAGUAGUUUUGACAGUUGUGUUUACUUUAAGAAAAACAAUGAUGGUUCUUUUGUGUAUCUACUUCUUUAUAUUGAUGACAUGUUGAUCGUAGAAAAAGAUAAAGGAGAGAUAAGAAAGGUCAAAGCCCAACUAAGUAAAGAAUUUGAGAUGAAAGAUUUGGGACCAGUAAAGAAGAUACUUGGUAUGGAGAUUCUCAGAGAUAGAAAAGUAAGUAAAUUGUACCUAAGUCAGAAGGGAUACAUUGAGAAAGUUCUUUGCAGGUUCAAUAUACAGAGUGCUAAGCCUAUUAGUACUCCUUUAGCAGCCCAUUUUGCAGCCCAUUUUAGACUUUCAUCGGCUUUGUCUCCACAAUCAGAUAAUGAGAUUGAGUACAUGUCACAUGUUCCAUACUCUAGUGCAGUGGGAUCUCUCAUGUAUGCUAUGGUUUGUUCACGUCUAGAUUUAUCAUAUGCAGUUAGUACAGUUAGUAGAUAUAUGGCGAAUCCCGGUAAAGAACAUUGGAAAGCAGUUUAGUGGAUUUUAAGAUACUUACGAGGUACUACUGAUGUUUGCUUACAAUUUGGAAGAACUAGAGAUGGAGUCAUUGGGUAUGUUGAUGCUGAUUUUGCUGGAGACCUUGAUAGAAGAAGAUCUCUCACAGGUUAUGUCUUUACAAUCGGAGGUUGUGCAAUCAGUUGGAAAGCCACUUUGCAAUCUACAGUCGCUUUGUCUACCACUGAAGCUGAGUACAUGGCGAUUACUGAGGCUUGUAAAGAAGCUAUUUGGUUGAAGGGACUCUUUAGUGAACUCAAUGAAGACCUUCAAAUCAGCACAGUAUUUUGUGACAGUCAGAGUGCCAUCUUUCCUACAAAAGAUCAAGUGUUUCAUAAAAGGACAAAACACAUUGAUGUUCAGUAUCAUUUUUUUCGUGAUAUUAUUGCUCGUGGUGAUAUUGUUGUGAGCAAAAUUAGUACUCAUGAAAAUCCUGCAGAUAUGAUGACUAAGUCACUUCCUGUAACCAAGUUUGAGCAUUGCUUAGACUUGGUUGGUGUUCAUUGUUGAAGUUAAACCCUUAAGAGGUUUUAUGGAAGAGGUGGAAAACUUGUUCGUUGAGAGUUCGCGAUGAAGAACUUGUUCUAUUGAGAAUUCGUGUCAAGGUGGAGAUUGUUAGAAUUAAGUGACCCAAAUCCUUAUUUAAGUAAAAUACAGUGGUAAAAUAAAAUAAAAGAAGAAUCCAUAUAGAAUUACACUUCUUUUAUUUUAUUUUAGAAUAAGGUUUUUUAAACCUUAUUAAAUUUUAUCUAUUUGAUAUUGAUUAGAAUAAGGUGUUUCAGUCUUACUAGAAUAUGGCUUUACAAGCCUAUAAAUAGACAUAGUCUAUUCCUCUUGUAAACAAUUUUUGAAUUCGAUAUAGUGAAUUUUCUUCUCCUUUGCCCAUGGUUUUUUCCCGAAAGGGUUUCGACGUAAAAUCUGUGUUUUUUAUUUUAUUUUAUUUUAUUUUAUUUUCACACAAAGUGUGUGUUCAAUUGGCUGUAGUCAUUAGAUAUUUAUACACACUUUUAAGGCUAAAAUUUAGCUAGAUUUUUAUUAAAUAUUAUCACUAAAUAAUUCAAAAUUUAAAAAUUAAAUUUAAACUAGAGAUUAAAUUUAAACUAAUUAUAGAAUUGUAACAAUAUAAAAAAUCCUUCAAUCUUUAUCCAGCCACUUUUGAAAAAAAAAACUUCAACCCUUCAAUCUUUAUCUAGUCAUUGUAUCUUCAAUCUUUCAAUCAAGCCCUCCUCUUUACUUUUUGUUUCAAUUUAGCCCCUUUUUGUAAGAGUUUGAAUUCAGCACACCAACUUCAUUCCUGAUAAAAAAAAUCCAAAUUUAAUAGCAUAUUUCUGAUAAUUAGCCAAAAAUAAAUAAAUUAAAAAUAAAAUUUUUCUUGCUAUUCAGUCAGAUUUCAAUUUUGGCCUCUAGAAUAUGAUGAAACUUGAUAUUUAAUCUAUAUACUCUAGUUUUUGACAUAAUUUAAUCCAUGUACUUUUAUAAUGUAAUUAAUUAGUCUAAAUAAUUAAUAUUGCUAACUAUUUCAAUCAAAAUAUUGACAUCAAUUUUUCUUAAAAGCAAUAUAAUAUUCAAGAAUGGAAGAAUUUCAAUGUAAUAUUCAAGGGAGUGUAAGGAAGAAGAUUACUUCUCUAGGGUUUGAUCCUCUCUUUGGGAUGCACACACUGUAUGUUGAUAUACAAUUUUUGUUAUUAUUUUGAAAUUCUCUUUUCUAUGAAGAAGAACUAAUGGAAUCAUAUGUUUAAUUUCAAUUGAGUUAUUUCUUGUUUCUUAUUCAUAUGCUAAUAAAGGUUAUUUAUAUUUAUUAGUUUUUAAUGCUUUUCAUUGUUUGAUCAAAUUUUAAUUUGUUUAGUAAAGUUUAAGGGAAACUUAAAAAGAAAGCCUAGAUUAGACUCAAUCAGUAUAGCUUGUGGUUGAUGUUUGAAAUUGUCAAUUUACGGUUAGGAUAGGAAUUUACCUAAACAUAAUAGGUAGCCAUAUUAAGGUUGAUGAUUAAUGAUUUUAUUAAAUUGCAAACUACCAUAGGAAUGUAGGAAAUUGGUCUAAUAAAUAGAUUUAUUAGUGAUUCGAGAAAACUUAGUGAUUAAUAAGAGGAUAGAAAGGCUCAUUAAAAGAAGAUAUAAUGGGGAAGUUAAGGGUGAGUUUGGAUGGGCGGUGCGUUUAGCUGCAGCUAGUGUAAAAACAGCAGUGGCGGUGAGAUUAGAUACUGUUGCAAUACUGUAGCGUGAGACAAAAAAUAAGCUAAACGCACUGCACCGUUGCCCCAAACGAAGCCUAAGUACCUAGAUUUAUAAAUAUUAAUAAUUGUUUUUCUUAUUUCAAAAUUUCAUUACCUCAUAUUUUUAUUUCAUGUUUUAUCAUUUUAAUUUGGAUUGAAUUAGUCAAUUAUUUAACUCAAUUCAAUGUCUAAAAAGAUUAAUAUUUUCAUACUAUUUGUAUAGUAUGUGUGUUUGAAAAUUCUGCAACACACUACCUCUAUCAGCACCUCCCAAAAGCCACCAUGCCACCAAAACCAUUGAAAAAAGCCUUAUUAUUCUAAGAGAGAACUGAGGCAAGGGAAAGACCGAGUAGGGAAGGGAUUGGAAAGAGAAAAGGAGCUUGCUUUCAGCCACCAAUGGCGCCCAGCGAUUCACCGCACAACAAACUUAAGAUAUGGGUUUUUAUUUUAGGUAUAAUGUCAAAUUUAUUCCUCAACGUUUAUAUUUUUUGUCAAUGACUCUUAUUGAUUUUUUUAGUUAAAUUUGAUCAUCAAUAUUUUAAAAAGAGUCAAUUUGAAUAUCAACUUUUCAAAAAGAAAUAUUAUGCUUUUUAUAGAAAUAUUGACUAAAAUGCUAAACUUUUAAACAUUUUAGCCUGUGUGGCAAUUCACAUGUAUAUUGUGCUUUUUUUUUGAAUUUUUAUGAUUUUUUAUAUAUAUUUUUAAAUUUUUAAAUUUCUAUAAUUUUUUAAAUUAUUGGUUGACAUAAUAUAUAAAACAAAUAGUAUGUUGUUAAUAUGAAUUAUGCAUGGAUUACCAUGUGGGUUAUUAUACUAACAUUGUUAAAAAUUAAUGUUUUAAUUAACAUUUUCAUAAAAAAGAAUGAGUUACCUCUUUUUAAAAUAUUAAUAAUUAAAUUUAACUUAGAGAAUAGAUGAAAGGUUAAAGAAAAUGUAUUUCACAUUGUACGUUCUUUAUCAAGGAGUUAAAAGCGACGCACUUUCUCUUGGGUUUCUGUUUUGUACAUUUAUUACAAUAAUUUUUGCCAUUCAUGACAGUCAAAGACAUUAUUAAUGGUAGAGGCAAAGAUUUGCUUAUCGUUUGCGUGUUGAAUUGAUUGAUUUUAUUAAUUGGAAGUUUAUUUUGAAUAAAUUAAUUAAAUUUAAAUAAUUUUAUUAAUUCGAUUAAUUUUUAUUAAUUUAAUAAAAUUAAACCUUCUAUAUUUUAAUAGAUAAUUUUUUACAUCCAAAAAAAAAAUCAAAAUUUAAAAGUAAAACAUACUAAAAGUAUUAAUAAAUGAAAAUAUUCGGUACAAUUUUAUUGGAGUUUAAGAACCUUACAAGGAGGUUUUAAUGAGUUGAGUUCGCUUAAGCAUAGUAUUAAUACAUUUUACGAUUAUUUAAGCUCGGUUCGACCUGAAAUAUGAUUCUAAAAAUUUGUUUAAAUUUGCUCAUAUUUGUAGAUGGUUAAUCCAAACUUAAUUUAGGCUUGUCUAUAUUAUUUUUAAGGGUAAACUACACUAAUAAUUGCCCAACUAUUAAUAUUCUUUUUGUUACCCAACUAUAAAAAAUUACAAAAUGGUCACUCAACUAUUAGCAAUGGCGGAGCCAUUUUUUUUUGGCGGAAUUAAAUUAUAUAUUUUUACAAUAGUAAAAAUAUAAUUUCACCAUUUAAUAGUUUAUAUCUUUAUAAUUUUUAAAGGAUUAAAUCAAAUUUUUAUCAUUUUGGGAGCCAAAGUGUAAUUUACCAUUACUAAUUUAAAAUUAUAUAAAUUAUAAAUGGCCUAAAUGGAAAAUUUCCCAUUUUAGGAGGCUGCUAGCCCCCUGGCUAUUAGUAAAUUUUAUUUUUAGUCAACAAAUUAUGAAAAGUUCUAAAAUAAUCAUCAAACCAUUCAAUUUUAUCUUUUUUGGUCACUAACUAACUAAUGUACAAAUAGAAACACACAAUAAUCCCAUAUUGUUGGGUGAUUAAAAAAGACAAAAUUGAAGAAUUAAAUGACUAUUUUGUAACUUUUCAUAGUUGGGUGACGAGAAAAGAAAUUUACUAAUAUUUAAGUUACUACUAGUGUAGGUACACUUUUAAAAUUUUUAAAUUAUUUUUAUUUAAUAUUAAUAAUUGUAUAUAUUUUUCAUUUAUUAAAAUUAUAUUUACAAGCAAUUAACAUUUUUCUUAAAUAUGUUUACAUUAUAGUAUUAUAUAUUAUUAUAGAUUUAAUUUUUCGUGUUAUAAAUUAUAUAAUAUAUUAUAAAUUUAAAAAAAAAUCGAGCUCAAGCUUCAAAUGCUUGGGUUUAGGCUAGACCCAAACUUAUACUAUAGAGGAGUUUAAGUUUUUAUCUAAAUUUAUUUUUAAAACUAACAUUUUCGUUUAAAUCUUCUUAAAUUUUGAAUGAAUUUUUGGUCGUGAGUACAUAGGCCACCCAGUUUAGUGAUGUCAAGUGAAUGUAGUGUAGGUGAAAGGAAAAUUAUUUUAUACAUGUGGAGGGUGUUAUGAAGUAUAUUAAAAUAAAUAAAAUAAAAUAUAUAAAUGAACGGUAUUACUUAAAAAGGAGAAAAAAAAUUCACAAUAGUGACGGUACAAUAAAAAGAAAAUGGAUGAUCGGGUGAGGUGAAUGGGCCACUGUCCCUUUAGCAGGGCAAUGGAAUGGAAGAGGAGCAAAAAGGAACCAACUUUAGGGAGUGUCUGGAGACUCGGGUAUUGGUCGGGGGCCCAUCGGUCCCUUCUUUUCACACCGUGAUUGCCGCUCGUCUUGCCUUGCCCCCAAGGAAAUGAAACUAUGGGGGACCCACCAACCCUUCGACCUUGGGAAACCCCAUUGAUUAGGCGUCAUGCUUCACCAACACUGUUGCUAUUCCAAAGUCGCUAAUCGACAAAUAUCACCCCAUGAUUUGCACAUUUCUAAACAAACUAGCAAGGGACUUCUUUUCCCCUGAAAUUGUCGAUUCAAAAUGAAUUCUACACUUGCUAAGUUUUGCUUGAAAAGACAAAAGCCAAAAUAAGAUUCUUCUUCAAAAACCAAAAUAUGGACAAAAUUGAGUUCAACCUAGGAAACUAUAUGUAUAUUUAAUUGCCAUAUCUUUCAUCAAUCUUUCUUUUAUUCGACAUAAAUGUGAAUGUUUUUUAACUUGAUAAAAAUAGAAAAUCUAUCCAUGAAUUACUCAGCAUACUUGCCACAAAUUUCACACAAAACGAUAAGUUACAUCUUCUAGAUAUACUUUACUAUUUAAAUUGUAAUAAUUAAUCAUCAAGUUUAUAAGCUAAGCAUUGCGCCAAAAAUGAUGACAAAAUCAAUUUUCCUUGUGUCUUCUUGCAAACUUUCACAUCUACUUAAUACUAUCACUAUUACUAAUUAGCAUUAAGAUUACCCAAAAAAACUCUCACUUAAUCAUUAAACAAUCUUAACAAAGUUCAAUAAUGACAAUACUUGGGAGAGUAGAGCAUUAUAUUAAUUUCCCACUUUCCAACCAAUAAAUUACUACUAUUAAUUACAUAAAUUUAUUAGGGGUACCUUCUUGCUACUCAAUACUAUAUUUUAAUUAUUGUGUUUCCUCAACCUCAAGCCCAACAAAUUACAAAACCAAAUAUUUUACUAAUUGUCGUUUUAAACAUUAGAGCUUUAUUCUUUUAAUACGUAUUUACCUCUCUUUUUUCACCUUUAAGGCUUUUUAUCAAACGAGUGGCACGCAUAGCAUUGCCAAUUGGCAAAUCAAGAAACUUUUUUUUUUGGCUCCUUGGCUUUUUUAAUCUUCAACUUUUCUGGGUAUUGACGAGGAAUUGAAAAGAAGAAGAAGAAGAAGAAGAGGAAAAUGGAUGGAGCAGAGAUGGAGUUAGAGAGGAGAAGCAAGUUCUUAAACAGUUUGAUCCAAAAGAAGAAAGCUAUAGAACAACAAGAGCAAAAUGAACGUCUCAAUGUUAAAGUCAGAGCUUCUGAUAUGCCUUUAGCUCUUCAAAACAAGGCUUUUAAAUGUGCCCGAGACCAGCUUGACUAUAUGCCUGGAAAGCUUGAUAGUAAACGCCUAGCUCUUGCCCUUAAGAAGGUUAAAAAAUCAAACUUUCUUGUCUUUUUUUUUGUUCUGCUUUUAUUACCGUUGAAUCUUUGGUUAGAUUCAUUUUUUUGACGUAAAGAAUUAAUGGGUUUGUUUAGAUUUCUCAUUUGAUUGUUUUAGUUGACGCAUUUAUAACUUCUGCAUGUAGGUAAUAUUAUAUUUUUUUUGGCAUAACGUUGGAUAAAUUUGGUUCUUUUUGGGUGUAAUUGAUUUUCUAACAUGGUGUUGGGCGAGUAAGGUUGAAUGCUAUGGUUGGAUUUAUAAGAGUUAUAGAUAUUAAUAAUGCAAGUGAGAAUUGACUGAAAAGUUUUCUAUUUUUAGUUGUGCAAAUCAAAUCUUGUCUUUUCGUAAUUCAGCUUAAUUGAAGACAUUAUGAUAUAUCCCUUUUUGGUUUUCUCUUUACUCUUUUUUCUUUGUACCAUAUUGAAUUUGUUAUCCUGCUUCUAAAUGCUGAUAUGAAUUCCAGUGUUCUAUGUUGCUUCAAAACCCCAUUGCUUAUCCACUUAUUCCAACUGCAAGAAUAUGUAGCUAAUUAGCUUCGAUGGUCCUUGUGAUAUUUGAAAUAUUCCAUUUGCAUCUAUGUGCAAUCCAACUUUGUUCAGUUUAUGAAUUUAUCACCUGCAAUAUUUGGAGUUAGAAUAGGCCACAGAUUAUAAUCGUUUCGUUUUCCAAAUAUCAGACGUAUUUGCUCCUCUGAUAACAGGCACAAGCUCACAAAGCGUUUUCAUGAUGAAAUAACUUCUCAAUAAUCACUAGGUUCAAAUUUGGCCUGGCCUGAAUUUAUGGAAGUGGGUUAGACAUCCUUGAUAUGGUGCAAGAUGUGUACGUGCAAUGAUUUUGCAUAAUUUGAAAAUGGUUUCUAACAUACCCUUCCUCGUAGGCAUACGAGGAGUAUGAAGUCUGUUUACUCAUUAUUCUGUUGGCAAUGAGUCAUCUACUUGUCCAGUCUCUGAAUCUAAACUAGCACAUCAAAGCCGUGUAAAUUUACUAUAUAAAUAUAACAAAAAUCAUGUGGCCCUCAAGUUUAAUAUCAUUCAUAGCAUUUGAUCACUUUGUUUAUACAGUGUUUGAAAAUAUUAUGAUACACUUGCUUUUGAGAGUAACCUCUCAUUUUGAGUUAGAGUAAACCACUCAUGUCUCGAAGAGACAGCAUAUUCGCUUCU
rnacentral:lncRNA from 1 species